UUGCUUUUGCAGCACAUAUACUGAAAUUGAAAAGAUACAGAAAAUACUAGAGUGGCCUCCACAAGAGGAUAACAUGAAUUUAUUAAAGGCGUGCCAUGUGUUU
rnacentral:snRNA from 1 species